rnacentral:rRNA from 1 species
AGCAAACGCUGGCGGCAGGCCUAACACAUGCAAGUCGAACGAACCCUUCGGGGUUAGUGGCGGACGGGUGAGUAACACGUGGGAACGUGCCUUUAGGUUCGGAAUAACUCAGGGAAACUUGUGCUAAUACCGUAUAAUGUCUUCGGACCAAAGAUUUAUCGCCCAAGGAUGAGCCCGCGUAAGAUUAGCUAGUUGGUGGGGUAAAAGCCUACCAAGGCGACGAUCUUUAGCUGGUCUGAGAGGAUGAUCAGCCACACUGGGACUGAGACACGGCCCAGACUCCUACGGGAGGCAGCAGUGGGGAAUAUUGGACAAUGGGCGAAAGCCUGAUCCAGCAAUGCCGCGUGAGUGAUGAAGGCCUUAGGGUUGUAAAGCUCUUUUACCAGGGAUGAUAAUGACAGUACCUGGAGAAUAAGCUCCGGCUAACUCCGUGCCAGCAGCCGCGGUAACAC